CCUACGGGUCGCACCAGUGGGGAAUAUUGGACAAUGGGCGCAAGCCUGAUCCAGCCAUGCCGCGUGAGUGAUGAAGGCCUUAGGGUUGUAAAGCUCUUUCACCGGUGAAGAUAAUGACGGUAACCGGAGAAGAAGCCCCGGCUAACUUCGUGCCAGCAGCCGCGGUAAUACGAAGGGGGCUAGCGUUGUUCGGAAUUACUGGGCGUAAAGCGCACGUAGGCGGACAUUUAAGUCAGGGGUGAAAUCCCGGGGCUCAACCUCGGAACUGCCUUUGAUACUGGGUGUCUUGAGUAUGGAAGAGGUAAGUGGAAUUGCGAGUGUAGAGGUGAAAUUCGUAGAUAUUCGCAGGAACACCAGUGGCGAAGGCGGCUUACUGGUCCAUUACUGACGCUGAGGUGCGAAAGCGUGGGGAGCAAACAGGAUUAGAUACCCUUGUAGUC
rnacentral:rRNA from 1 species